CUCUCUGAAAUAGGACUUUCUGUAUUGAAUUUUACUAGGAAUUUAGUAAUUUUGUUAUUUCACAUUUUUUCUUUUUUUUAGUAUUACUCAGUUGCUAAACCUAACCCAGAAAUUGUAAGUUCACACAACGUCCACAAGAAAACAAUACUGAGUGGGCUUCUAAAACAAAUGUGUUAAUUAACUAAAUAGAUAACUAAUGAAUACUUUGGAAGAAGUUUAAUUGGUUAGGAUACUACCAACCGCUAAAUAUAAUCAUUUUGUGUUUAUAAUAUACCAACAUUGUCACAGUUUUGUUACAUAACCAACAUCAAAUGAUAUAAAAACAUGGUGCUAUGGACAAAGAUUAUUACUCGUUAAUACUGGGACCAAUAUACUAAUUUACAAGUACCUAAAAUCAUAAAAGUUUUUUGCAGUUGUUAAUCAGAUUUCACAACCAAUUGGUUCAAUCAUAAUUUAUCAGCUGUUACAACCCACAAUUUUAGUAAUAACCAGAUUAUUUUUAGUUGAUAAGUGAUUGGCUUCAUAUACUACGAAGAAAAUUGUAAUGCUAACAAAACAACAAGACAAUGUUGUAAUAUUAUAACACAUUGGGAUUUUAUAAAUGAGAAAUAUAUAUAUAUAUGUAUAAAACUAACAGAAUACAAGAACUUUUAUGUAACAGAAAUUUAAAGAGGUUUAACUGGAAAAUAUAAAAUUAUCAUAUCUACCGGAAUUAAUAAGUGCACCAGGGUCAAAUGGUAGUUUUAUUCAGAAUGCUAAACAGAUAUCUUCAAUUUUUCUUGUUUACAUGAAAUAACAAGGUUAUAAUUGCAAGUUCAAGUGAACUUCUUCAUAUUUGUUAUCAAUAUUGAGAAAAGUGCAUGUUAAAACAAGAAUGUGUCCUCAGUACACGAAUGCCCCACUCGCACUAUAUUUCCAUGUCAGUGGAC
rnacentral:lncRNA from 1 species